CAUACGCGUGCUGAAUCUUCUUCUCUACAAUUGAUUUGAAACCCUAAUUUUGCCUCACUUCCUUCACAGCCCUCUCACGAUCCUUCUUCCUCUCCACCGCUAGAAACCUUCCUCUUCCACUACAAGAAAAAAGGUAUAUCACGACAGGCAAACUGCAGCGGUUGCAUUCUAGCCGUCGUCGCUUUUCCCUUUUGUGGCAGUUACUGUAGCAGUUCCUUUCCCGCCGUCGCAUUUUUCCCCCUUUUGCAUCUUAUAUCUUUAAUCUACCCAAACCCAAACACUUCAUUAACCCAAAUCCCUAAUCGAUUUCAGUUUUCCUUCUCGUCUCAGAUCUGUACUCUUCGAACCCAAAUCGAUUUCAGUUCGUCAAACCCAAAUCACUUCAUGCCUCAGAUCUUCGAUUUCUCUCUUCACACACCUUGAAUCCCUAAUAAAUUUCGAAAUUUCCCUAUCUCACGUAUCCCUCAUCGCUCUAUGUAUCGGUCCCUCGCCGCUUUCUUCGUGUGAUUACAGCCGCCCAAGACCUACCUACUUCUCUUCCGUUGAGGUCUCUCACAGCUCAGUUUUUGCAGUUAUAUGUUGGGCAACCAGAGAGUUCUUCUCAAUUGUUUUUGCAUUGUAAUUUUGCGAUCGACAUUUGGUAUGCAGUGUUUAGAUGGUUGGGUCUGGUCCUCAUCAUUCCACCGAACUUAUUCUUCCUAUUUAGUUAUGUGGUAAUGUCUCGUGUUGGUAAGAAAAUUCGUAGUGUUUUGCUCAUUGAUCUGUUGCAAAUUUUUUUCCCAAAACUGUUAUUAUAUUUCUAUAAUUGAAGGACCAAAUUGAUAGUUUAUCUGAUAAGUUAGGUCUAUUUUUCACUUUUUCUAUAUCUAGUGGAUGAUGAGAUAACUUAUUAGAUGUCCAAUGAUUGUGAAUUGGUCCCUUUUAGCAUCUAGAUGCAACACCAGAGUAGAUCAAGAAGCUUACUACAAUUGUAUGAAAUGUUUCCACCCGGGUUUAAGUCGACGAAAAAUCCAAGAGUCAAAUAUAAGAUUUUGGUUUAUCGUGCAAUGGCUAAUGCAGCAAUUGUGAUUGGGUUUGAUGAUUUUAUUGUAGAUGCAUUUGUGAGAUUCUCAGGUUGAGGAUCCAGCUCAGAGUUAGAGGCGUUGCUCGUGCUUAGUGUAGCACACUUUUUGGUGAGGAGUUUAGCGUAGACUACUCCUUAGAUAUAUGUUAUAUAUAUCUUUUUGAUGGGUUGUAUAGAAUUGCUCUGAUUAGGUUUUACCGGGUCGGGUUAUUCGUUUGAAUUGU